GGGUUGUGAGGUUAAGCGACUAAGCGUACACGGUGGAUGCCCUGGCAGUCAGAGGCGAUGAAGGACGUGCUAAUCUGCGAUAAGCGUCGGUGAGGUGAUAUGAACCGUUAUAACCGGCGAUUUCCGAAUGGGGAAACCCAGUGUGUUUCGACACACUAUCAUUAACUGAAUCCAUAGGUUAAUGAGGCGAACCGGGGGAACUGAAACAUCUAAGUACCCCGAGGAAAAGAAAUCAACCGAGAUUCCCCCAGUAGCGGCGAGCGAACGGGGAGGAGCCCAGAGCCUGAAUCAGUGUGUGUGUUAGUGGAAGCGUCUGGAAAGGCGCGCGAUACAGGGUGACAGCCCCGUACACAAAAAUGCACAUAUUGUGAGCUCGAUGAGUAGGGCGGGACACGUGGUAUCCUGUCUGAAUAUGGGGGGACCAUCCUCCAAGGCUAAAUACUCCUGACUGACCGAUAGUGAACCAGUACCGUGAGGGAAAGGCGAAAAGAACCCCGGCGAGGGGAGUGAAAAAGAACCUGAAACCGUGUACGUACAAGCAGUGGGAGCCUCUUAAUGGGGUGACUGCGUACCUUUUGUAUAAUGGGUCAGCGACUUAUAUUCUGUAGCAAGGUUAACCGAAUAGGGGAGCCGAAGGGAAACCGAGUCUUAACUGGGCGUUAAGUUGCAGGGUAUAGACCCGAAACCCGGUGAUCUAGCCAUGGGCAGGUUGAAGGUUGGGUAACACUAACUGGAGGACCGAACCGACUAAUGUUGAAAAAUUAGCGGAUGACUUGUGGCUGGGGGUGAAAGGCCAAUCAAACCGGGAGAUAGCUGGUUCUCCCCGAAAGCUAUUUAGGUAGCGCCUCGUGAAUUCAUCUCCGGGGGUAGAGCACUGUUUCGGCAAGGGGGUCAUCCCGACUUACCAACCCGAUGCAAACUGCGAAUACCGGAGAAUGUUAUCACGGGAGACACACGGCGGGUGCUAACGUCCGUCGUGAAGAGGGAAACAACCCAGACCGCCAGCUAAGGUCCCAAAGUCAUGGUUAAGUGGGAAACGAUGUGGGAAGGCCCAGACAGCCAGGAUGUUGGCUUAGAAGCAGCCAUCAUUUAAAGAAAGCGUAAUAGCUCACUGGUCGAGUCGGCCUGCGCGGAAGAUGUAACGGGGCUAAACCAU
rnacentral:rRNA from 1 species